rnacentral:rRNA from 1 species
UACGUAGGGGGCUAGCGUUGUCCGGAAUCAUUGGGCGUAAAGAGCGCGUAGGCGGCCAGAUAAGUCCGGUGUGAAAGUCAAAGGCUCAACCUUUGAAUGCCGCUGGAAACUGUCUGGCUAGAGUCCGGGAGGGGCGAGUGGAAUCCCUGGUGUAGCGGUGAAAUGCGCAGAUAUCAGGAGGAACACCAAUGGCGAAGGCAGCUCGCUGGAACGGUACUGACGCUGAGGCGCGAAAGCGUGGGGAGCAAACAGG